AGGACAGAAAAGACUGUCUCAAAAUAAUACAAUUUAAAAAUUACAAAAGCUACUGCUCACCCCUGCGGCCUUGCUUAGGAGGCUCUGAUGGGUGCCUCUCAGUGAGGAGAAAGAGCCCAGAGCCUCUGUAUCCUGAGGCCAGCGCCCUGCCCACCCCGCAGCUCCCCGAACGCAACGCAGGCCUCCUCAGGGCCAUCUGUUCUUGGAUGUGUCCAGUGACUUUCCUUUGCCGGCUCAAGAGGUGCUGGUGGUGUCACUGGGUAGUUGGUGAGAGGUGCUGGUGGUGUCACUGGGUACUCGGUGAGAGGUGCAGGUGGUGUCACUGGGUAGUUGGUGAGAGGUGCUGGUGGUGUCACUGGGUACUCGGUGAGAGGUGCUGGUGCUGUCACUGGGUACUUGGUGAGAGGUGCUGGUGCUGUCACUGGGUACUUGAGGUGCUGGUGCUCACUGGGUACUUGGUGAGAGGUGCUGGUGCUGUCACUGGGUACUUGGUGAGAGGUGCUGGUGCUGUCACUGGGUACUUGGUGAGAGGUACAGGUGGUGUCACUGGGUAGUUGGUGAGAGGUGCUGGUGCUGUCACUGGGUACUUGGUGAGAGGUGCUGGUGGUGUCAGUGGGUACUCAGUGAGAGGUGCUGGUGCUGUCACUGGGUACUUGGUGAGAGGUGCAGGUGGUGUCACUGGGUAGUUGGUGAGAGGUGCUGGUGCUGUCACUGGGUACUUGGUGAGAGGUGCUGGUGGUGUCACUGGGUACUCGGUGAGAGGUGCUGGUGCUGUCAUUGGGUACUUGGUGAGAGGUGCAGGUGGUGUCACUGGGUAGUUGGUGAGAGGUGCUGGUGGUGUCACUGGGUAGUUGGUGAGAGGUGCUGGUGCUGUCACUGGGUACUUGGUGAGAGGUGCUGGUGGUGUCACUGGGUACUUGGUGAGAGGUGCAGGUGCUGUCACUGGGUAGUUGGUGAGAGGUGCUGGUGGUGUCACUGGGUACUUGGUGAGAGGUACUGGUGGUGUCACUGGGUACUUGGUGAGAGGUGCAGGUGCUAUCACUGGGUAGUUGGUGAGAGGUGCUGGUGGUGUCACUGGGUACUUGGUGAGAGGUGCAGGUGCUGUCACUGGGUACUUGGUGAAAGGUGCUGGUGGUGUCACUGGGUAGUUAGUGAGAGGUGCUGGUGCUGUCACUGGGUAGUUGGUGAGGUGCUGGUGCUGUCACUGAGUACUUGGUGAGAGGUACUGGUGCUGUCAUUGGGUAGUUGGUGAGAGGUGCUGGUGCUGUCACUGGGUAGUUGGUGAGAGGUGCUGUCACUGAGUAGUUGGUGAGGUGCUGGUGCUGUCACUGGGUAGUUGGUGAGAGGUGCUGGUGCUGUCACUGGGUAGUUGGUGAGAGGUGCUGGUGCUGUCACUGGGUACUUAGUGAGAGGUGCUGGAGGUAUCACUGGGUAGUUGGUGAGAGGUGCUUGUGCUGUCACUGGGUAGUUGGUGAGAGGUGCUGGUGCUAUCACUGGGUACUUAGAGGUGCUGGUGGUGUCAGUGGGUACUUGGUGAGAGGUGCUGAUGCUGUCACUGGGUACUUGGUGAGAGGUGCUGGUGCUGUCAUUGGGUACUUAGUGAGAGGUGCUGGUGCUAUCACUGAGUAGUUCGAGGCACUCACUGCCCAGGGCCACGUCCUACAGGAGGUAGGGCCUCUCACGUGUCCUCCGGCAGGGACCAAUGUCUGUGGCUUCCGCACAGUGACCUUGCAGUGGCCUUGGGCUCUGAACUUUGUCACAUCCUGUUGGCUCAGGCUCCCACCCGCAGCACAGCCGAGCUCCCCGCAAGCCUCUUGGGUGUCUUUCCCAGACAGCUGGGGGUGGCGGCCUGGGCUGGGGAGGCAGGGACGCCCAGCCCCUCCAUGUGGGCCUGCUGUCCCAGCCAGCCUUGGCAGGCUCUGGCCUGCGCUCUCCCCUUUCCGCUGCCCCUGCUGCCCCUGUCAGGCUGAGACUGGACACAGUAUUUGCAGCCCCAGCCCCGGGGUCCUCAGCCAGCAGUGUGGACGGUUCAGCACGCUCCGCCUGGUCCCAGCGUUCUGGGAGACGAGACGAGACAAGUGCAGGUCAGAGAACAGCCCGCAGCAUCCUAACCCUGCAGCUCUCCGAGGUCUCGCCUGCCCACGUGUUUGCUGCCGACUUUCUGGUGAGAACGGGUGUGAGUCAGGGCAGGAGUGAGAACCACUUGGCCGCACUGCCCUUGGCACUGGUCUGUGCGAGCUGCAUUUCCCCAUUUUUUUUUAUUUUUUGAGACAGGGUCUCACUCUGUCA